GAUCUCGUCUGAUCUCGGAAGCUAAGCAGGGUCAGGCCUGGUUAGUACUUGGAUGGGAGACCGCCUAGGAAUACCAGGUGCUGUAAGCU
rnacentral:rRNA from 1 species